UAAAAACCUCGUGUGGUGAUUACAAGUGAGAACAACGGCUGUGCAUCAUUUGGGUGACACUGAACCAGCACAAUCCCAUUACCCAUUGGAUGGAUGUCCAACUAGGAUGCCAAUAUGAAGUGUGGGCCAGAGAUGUUGGAGCAAGUCAUAGUUAAGCUGAUUACAUUUUACAAGGCAAGGAAGCCAUAGAAGAUCAAAAAGAUCGCUGAGGAUGGACGACGGGGACACUGGCAGUCUGAAAGACAAUAAAAAGAUGGAUGCCAACACAGUAUGGCAGUGGCGCAUUAAGCAUGUAAAGAAGUACUCAAGACAUCCAGAACCAUUCCAUUACAGCAAUAAAAUGGGACUAGAUUUUAAUGUUAGAUCCAACACACAGAAAAAAUUGGAUUUACAUUCACUGACAAAUGGUGUCAUACUAGAGGUCUGUGACUUUGCUGAAACAGUAAAGAGGAAUAAAUGGCAUUUUAUCACAAAUA